rnacentral:tRNA from 1 species
GGGGAUAUAGCUCAGGGGUAGAGCGCUGGGGUUCGAUUCCCUAUAUCUCCA